UCAGAGCUGCUGGUGACAGGAGCAGGGAAAGCACCAUCUGGCUGGCCCCCAGGGGCCCCAUGUAGGGUUCCUCUGCCUGUCAGCAUUUCGACGCUUCUUAGCAGGAUCCACCCUGACACCCUGCUGCUACCCAGCCCAGCUCCCCUCACACAGUGUGCACUGCCUCCGGAGGGAAGGGGGCCUCAUCUUGCUGUCUCCAUACUCGGUAACUAUGUGUUGGUUGAAGGAACCAGACCACCCCUGGCCCUUGUAACCCAACCCUCAGCAGCUCCUCCAAUCCUGUGGGCCUCCUGGAAUGGCUGAUUGUAUGUGUCCACUUCACUGGGCUACAGGGUGCCUGAGUGUUUGGUCAAACAUUAUUCUGUUUCUGGCAGGGGUGGGGAGGGGUUGCAUGAGACUAACAUUUGAAUCUGUAGACUUUUGCAUUAGAUGACAUUGACAUUUUAAUCAGUAAGGCAGAUGUCCUCCAAGAUGUGGGCGGGCCUUGUCUAGUCAGUUGAAGGCCUCCACUAUUCCACCCACAGUAACCACCCUCCCGCACAGGCAGGGCCUCCCUCCUCAUGUGGCAGACAGAAGUCAGGACACUGGGGGCUGGAAACCAACUUAUAAAACUGAAAGGGCCAGGACAGAAGUGAUAGCACCCUGCCAGGGAGGUCAGGAGCAGGAGGUGGUGGCCACAGGAAGUUCACCAGCAGCCCAAGGAGCCCUUUCCCUAAAUGUCCAUGGGAUCUGGGUGCUUGGCAGCCAAGAGGGGCUGUGGCCCUUCACGCUGGACUUGGGAUGCCUGGACCCUCUGGCCCUUCUCACACGGGAAGGAGAGGUUUCUCCCUGAAUGGAGGGCAGGGAGGGGCCGGGAGUGGGCGUGGGAUCCCACCUCUGCUGAGCCUUCACAGAGGGGGUCCUUGACCUUUGCACUCAGGAAAGAGCCCAUGCCAGCUGAUACUGGAG
rnacentral:lncRNA from 1 species